UACGUAGGGUGCAAACGUUUGUCCGGAAUUAUUGGGCGUAAAGAGCUCGUAGGCGGUUUGUUGCGUCGGCUGUGAAAUCCCGAGGCUCAACCUCGGGUCUGCAGUCGAUACGAGCAAACUAGAGUGUUGCAGGGGAGACUGGAAUUCCUGGUGUAGCGGUGAAAUGCGCAGAUAUCAGGAGGAACACCGGUGGCGAAGGCGGGUCUCUGGGCCGUAACUGACGCUGGAGGAGCGAAAGCGUGGGGAGCGAACAGG
rnacentral:rRNA from 1 species